AAUCGAUGGAAUAUUCCAGAAUCUACGCAGCAACUUUCGGUCGCUUGGUUCCUUCUUCACGUCACUCGAAACAUGACUAGUUUGUAACGAGAUAGAGAGAGAAAUCCGAUGCGACGGACAAUGCAAAAAUGACGCUUUUCCCCGGUCUAAAAUCAAUACUUGGUGGGAGCGAACUGCGCAGCGUCAUUUUCUAGAAUGUUCCAUGGGGGGAGCAGACGGUAUAAAAGUCGCCAUUGCCCAAAUCGGGACGCAGUUGAAGUGUGAUCGUACGUACGAUUAGUGUUAGUGAGAAGCCCAGAAGCCGCCCAUUCCCAGCAAGAUGGCGCCGGACGAAGAGGACACGUCACAGGAUUUGUAUCCCCUAACUCUCAAAAUUCGUAUCUAGCGUUUUUCUAAUUCUAUACUUCCGCUUGCACUAAUUUUGUUUCUGCGAUUGCUCCACUAAGUCUGGCCAACUUACGGGCGUAAUCCCCUGAAACACAAAAUUAGCAAGUCGCAGUGCCCCCGAUUUUUUCCGUAUGAAAUUUGUUGGUUAAUUUCAGAGAUCGUAAUCCAAUAUGGCGCCUAGGGCGCGGUCGCCAUCAUGCUAAUCAAUAGUCACGUGAUCGAUAGCGCAAAUAGCGAGAGAGAGGGCUAAUAUCGUCGUAAUGUAGUAAAGGUUGAGAAAGGUAGCAAUUUCGGCAAAGGCCUAAGGUCAUGGAGGCCGCACAAUUUUUUUUAAUAGAUUUUUCUAGAUAAGUUGUCAGCAACGGUUGAAGUAAAUGGAAGGCGGGUUUAUUUUACUCGGACAGGAUUCAUCCCUUGGUUAGAGAAUAGAGAUAGAGCCCCAAACGAGCUAAUAUUCGUGACUAAAUGAAUUCUGGACUUUGAGUUUUGAAAUUAGUGACGUGUUACAACCAUAUUCUUGUUAUUAUUAUUACUAACAUCUCUUCUUACCAUUCUCUAUACACUAUUAGUGUUUUUUUUAAUACAUAAAUAACAUGUUUAGGUGAAAAGUCAAACCUGAUGGCGUUUGUAUAACGAAACCCAACUGAUUUUUGAAUAAAGCAUAAUUAAUUUUUACAACUAAUUAGUUAAGUCAAUGAAUCUGUACCAAUUUCCUUGCCUUAGAAACGAUAAAAACAACAAAAGUAAACAAUGCAUUGUUGAAUUGGACUUAAACGGGACAAACGAAUAAAAUUUCGAAGUCCCUUACUUUCAUCAAUCAUCUGUAAAAAGGGGGCCAUACUUUUAAAAAGUAAGUACUCGAUUUUAGAUUAUACCUUAAUCAAGCUUAUUAUUUAUGUUUUACAUAGGAUAGCAUUAACAUAGUUUUAAGACUUUGCGGCGCUGAAUAAACAAAAGCAUGCAUGCAAAAAUUCAAACGAAAAUGCGGAAAACAUAAUUUGCGCCCCCUACAUACCCCCACAAAGGGUGAACAAAUUCUCAUUAUGUAUUAUUGGAUGGUUUUUAUUUCUAAAAAUGUUUCUGUUGCAUGUUUUAAGAGUGGUGUUAUUGUUCGUUUUUUAUGAUUUCCUCGUUUUUUAGCACUAAUGAUAAGCAAAAAAUUAUGGGAAACGACACGGUAAUGGCUUUGCACUCUUGCAUAUUGUUGCACAAUAUUGGAAAGCACUUUAAUGCGUUUAUUAGCGACGAAUUGCGUUUGAACCCCAAAACAAUUAAAAGCGCAUAAUACUAAACGAAUUUGGCGUAUGCGACAUUGAAAUUUUGUACCUUUGCGAAGGUAUUGCGUAAAAAUCUGGCGAUUAUAAACUUGAACUUAUAUAUCCCCUUGAUAUAUAUUUGCGCAACUUGAAUAACGUACAGCGUGGCUGUUGAAUUGUGAUAUUUUAUUCAGACAAUAUGAACAUAACCCCUGGUUUCUCAAUCUUUAAGCGACUUUAUACAUAUACAAGAGCGCAUUAAAUUAAGGUAUUAUAAGGAAUAUAUGCGUAAUGUCUUGUCAAUUACUUAUGCGGCAUUUUAAAUGAAGGCUAGUGCGAAGCGCAUUAUUCAUAUCAAAUGUGUACUAUACAUAUCUAAAUAGACUAAAGAAUUUCAAUAGCGUUAAUAUACUAACAGUGCUUUGAUUAUACAAUCUCAAGGGGAACUGAAUUUGAUCAAUGAAGUUACAAAAAUUAGACCUCCAAACAAGGGCGAUCUAUAAAUUAUCGUUUGUUUUUGAAAGCGAGAUAACGAGCGUUAAAAUAACUCAGGAAUUUUAAAGAAAUCAGUCAGUGAUGAAAAGGUAAACAAAAUUUUACCAACAUUUCGAUCAAUUUUAUUUUGACUUCGCAAAUAAUGAGUUCAUUAUGAAAUAUACGCAGAAACGGUUGAGUGGGAAAUGAAAAUUGACAUCAAAUUUCUGAAAUAAAUUAACUUAAAUAUAAAUGAAGUACAAUUUUAAAUACGUCUCCACAGCAACAAUAAAUUAUGAUAUGAUAAAUGAGUUUUUACAAUGUGACCAAAAUCAAAAUGCUAGCACGAACCUUUUAAUAUUUAUUUGAGGUAUAUUUUUGGGCAUGAAAAAUAUCUUUGGAUGUUUGAAUAUUUCCGCUGUAUUUUUAUGUUGCGUGUGUUAUCCAAAAUUCUCAUAAAAUAUGCGUUGAGCGUACGAAAAACCGAAUUAUUUUUCUGGAAAACCACAAAUGCAAACUUUUACAAUAAUUUAAUAAUGGGUCUGGCAUUCACCAAAUAAAAAACAUAAAUUAAGUAUUGCCUAGACGUCCAACUUUGAAUCUAGUUAGAUAUUUAUAGUAAAGGGACAACAAAUAAACAAUAGUACAAAUUUUGUGAACAAAAUAAUGUGUACACAGAAAUAAUAUCGAUUGACUUAAAUACAACAAAUGUUGACUAUAAAAAAUACAAGUAUACUUUGGAAAUAACACUCAGGUUCAGGUUCCGAAUUUAACAAUUUUCUUUAAUAGUCUGGCGAGUCAAAUGGAUCUAAUACGCCUAGAACUGAGUUUUCUAUUUUAAUGAAUUAAAAAAAUGAAUGUUAUCAGAGGUUUCAUGGUUUUGCGAUUUCUUGAAUAAACACAGUUUUAUGUUUGGAUGACUAUACGAUGAAUUUGGACAAGUGUAAAAAAAUAUGACAAGGUUUUAUGUUAGUGUGGAAUGACAGUAAUUGUAAAUAAUGACAACUUAUUAUGGAGAUUUUAAUAGGACGAAACAGCUUUAAAAGCUUGUAAAUAUAAUUGAAUGAAACUGACUUUUGGUUGAGUCAAGUCAGUACCGCGUGAUGCCACGAAUAAAAUUGUUAUAAUUAUUUUGUGCCAUGAAUGUUUAUAGCAUUAGGUUAAGAUUUCGUAUCCUUUAUAUCCAAAGGCCUAACUUAAAGUUAAAGAAGUACGUAGAAUAAAUUUGAAUGUACAAUGUUGAUGACUGUAAAUGAUUGUACAUAUUUUUUAAGUGGAAUUUUUAUAAAAUCUUAAUUGUAUAGCUAUCAGGCUAAUUUUUAAUUACUAUAAACAAGAAUUAAUCUACUGAUUGAACAAAAACGUUAUUUUGAUGUUUGACUAGCUAACAAUAUCACAAUUAAUUAAUUAGUGUACACUAUACUAGGGUAGGCUUUUUUUUUAUAAUUUUAUUAAUUUAUGCUCAUACUAAUGCGGCUGAACAUUUUACGAUGGAAACUAUCCAUGGAGUUUACAUGAGGAACAAGAAAGUUGUACAUAUUUAGAAAAAAUAGUGUUUGAUGUUAACUGUAUAAAAUAUAAAUUCGUAAUAACUGCGAUGUAUUGGAACUCGAGGUGCAGGGACCGAUUCUAUGUUCGUAAUAAGAAAAAUUUCGACUUAAAAGUUAAUUUUUUGACUAGUGGAGAGAUACAGAGUCGACAAUUUUUUCUAGCUGUGAAACUGAUAAUUUUAAUUUUGCAAAAAAAACUGGAAUUUAAAAUUUUUGGGUAUGACUAUUAAAAGAAUGAAACUAUAAAGCGCAAAAAAUGAAAUAUAAAUUCAAAAGUACAAAUAAAUUUUUAGCGAAUGGGAAGUUGAGCUUGAAAUAUUUUUACGUGUAUCCAAUUGGCUUAAGAAGUAUUAAUAAUAUUGAAAAUCUAUCAAAAUGAAUUAUUAUUCAUAGCGGUAAAAAAGUUUUGUUUGUAAAAAACUAUCUACGGAAAAUUACGGAAAUUUAAACCACUGCGUUUUUAUGACUUGAAAAGGAAUUCAUUCACUUUGGUUGCAUAUGUGACAGUUUUUGAAAAUGUAAAGUAUGGCGAGAGAUAUCAAGAGAAAUUAAACUAUUCAUAAAAUACUACUACUGAUAUAUUCGAACGUAUAAUCCAUAUUUAUUCUGAUUUGUAAAAAUUUUCGAGUGGGUUUGUAAAUGUUUUAAAAAUUGCUUUUCUUUAAAUGCGUGUUUAUAUUUAAGAUGUGAAGUUAUGAAGUGAAUCUUUUUUCAAAUUUUAUCAAAUGCGUUCUCCAGACAAUUAUUGGAAUAUCUGAAAUACAUUGGUAAUUCUGGAUGUUUAAAAUAAGUGCACAUUUUUUUAUAUAAAAUGAUAAUUUUCUUUUGUGUGUAGGGACAGUUGAUUUUAUAAAAUUAGUAACUAGAACGAAUUUGUAGUCAAAAUAAGACAUCGGUUAAAAAGUAUUCUCAAAGAAUUCUGAGAUUAUAAGCAAUAUCUUAUCUAUGUACGGCCAUAGGUUUAAUGUGUGUUGUGUGUAUCAUCACAAAUUUGUGUGGGGUUUAUAUACACCUAAAUCUACUAAAUCCAAACAUAAAUUGUCAAAUAUACUCUGUCGUAACACAAAGAAAUAUAUUCCGAGUUGUUUUUAAUGUCAAGACAGAAAGUCGGCGGUUGUGAAAAUUAAAAAUGAACCAAUUUUGGACGCAAAAUUAUGUUUUGUCAUACAUUGCUCACAAUUGUGUCAAAGCUGAGAUACGUUUUUUUGUAGCUUCGAAGCAAUUCAAAGAUCAUAAGUCAAAUAACAUCACAAAAAUCUGAAAAUAGUUGUGUGUUAAAGGGUUACAAUUUACGUCAAGUAGUUAUUAGGAGGUUUUAAAAUGAAGUUGUUAGGCGACAUUUAAAAUAAGUGCGCAGUGUUUUGAGAGUUGAAACGGUCUAAAUUGAACUUAUACUUUUUAUUUAUAUUGUUUUAUUACAAGUUUUGUUUAUUCGUUAUAGCGCCAAAAAACUACUAGUGUACGUAUUAUAAUUUUAGCAACUGUAGUUUGUAAGUUUGAUAAAUAAUCGAACAUUCGCUAAGUAGAUGUCUGUACAUAUGUAAAACUACAAUGGGUUCUCACAAUCUGGUUCACCAGUUGACUUGUAGAGUGCGCUCGCUAUACGAUUUAGUAAACGUCUACAAUCACACACUUAUGAAAUACUGUAUGUUUAGGAGUAACUAGAAAAAUUAGUAUGAUCUUAUAAAAUGAAAAUCUAUACUCGAUAAUUAUAUGAAGGUAUAACUGUAUCCUCGUAAUAUAGACAUAAUACAAGGGAAAAUGAAGACUAAUAAUUUUUAUCAUGAUUAUAUGACAGUUGGAUAAUCUUGUUUUUUCCACGUGGAAAUAGACUGAUUUUUUUUUUACAAAAGCGCUUAAAACACAAAUACGCACAAUUAGGUUUUAAAAAAUAUAUAGAUUUGGUGUAGAUCAUGGCUUUAGUUUAGUGAAUGAGAAGAAAUCAUCCAACACGCUUUGUUACAAACGCACAUAUUAAAUACAACCGUAAAUUAUUUGAGUGUUAAACGUAACUAACUAUUACAUUGAUGUGUUUGACAACUUAGAAGUCUUGGAAUUACAUAUUAAAACAAGCGAAUUUCAGUAUACAAGUAAUCUUAGUGUACAUACGUUGCUAUGCAACAUUACAUACACCGUACAAUAUAAAUUGGUUCUACCCAACAAAUGAACAAUUUCUAGUCAUACUCUUCACGAGUUGAAAAAAAUUAUAAAAUUGGAUUACAAUGCGCACACUAAUAUCGCACAAAUGACUGUUUCAUGUUUAUGUUGAUCAUCAGUUUAAAAUUAUUGGGAGCGUGAUCGCCGUGUAACUGAAGUCUUAUGCUUUUGUUAUCGUUGUGGUGUAAAUAAUGAGUCGAUGUCUCUGUGUUAGUAAUAAAUGAAUGCCUUAAAUGGGCUAAAUACGUUACAAAAUUAUAAUCUUGUAGUAUACGUAGUCAUAACUGUAUUAAGGUAUAUAAAAAUGACAAAGUCUGAAUAUGGGUAAAAAUAAAUUCUUGACUAUGUUAGAAUAGUGUUGUGUAUAUAUAUUUCUGACGACUUAAUCGUACUUAAGUACGUAACGAGGGUGGAGUCGAAAUUAUAGCCAAAUUUUUUGUUUGAGUGGAUGUUCGUCAUGUGUUUAAACCGAGAUUGUGCUAGUUAAGUUUCACUCAGAUUGGAGGAUCUGAAAAAAAUAAUUAACCAAAAUGCGCACAUUAAUUCGCACAAAGAGAUAUUUUUGUUGUAUUUAUAACAAUUUAUAUAGUUGUUAGUGUUAACUUCUUCUUUACCAAAAACUUAGAAUCUAAGCCGAAUUAAAGUUUGUCUGAAAAAUUCUUGAAUAAGUUGUUGUCGGUGUAUUAAUAGCAAGUAACAUUAACAAAUAAGUCAUUUAAUUAAUUUAAUACUGCGUCUAUAUUUUUUAAACUUAAAAAAAUUAUCGAGAAAGUUGUGGGUACGAAUUGAAACGAUCCAACGUGACAUGAAAUUAGCGACGAAAGAAAACCACGGUUUGCAAAAAUUAUAAAUUUCAAAGUAACUAAUUUAGGAAAAAUUACUUAGAAAUUAGAUGCGUUACUUAUUACUUGUAACAGUUUGACCCAUCAGAGUAUUUGAUGUACGUGUACAAACACAAAAAAUCAUAGGGCUUCGUUCAACUAAAUUGUUGUUGAAAAAAUCUAUGAAACAAAAAUAAAACAUAUUUUAGGCAGUGUAAAUUUUAAUCAACAUGUAUAAACAAGUUCGAAAUUUUUCAUUUGUUCGCAAUAACACAGGUGUAUAUAAUAUACAAUGGUGUACAAUUUUUACAUAUACAGUUAGACAACAAUUUUUAUGUUGGUGCUCAGGGUCACCAAAAAAAUAUUAAUGAAACAAUGAAAAAGUCAAAUAAAAAAAAAGUUGAAAAAAUUACGUGGUAUGAAAAUUAGAAAAAUUAUAAUAAUGACCUGACCUGACCUGACCUAACUUAGCCCGACCUGGCCCAUUAUGACUUGACCUUAUUCGAUGAAACUUGUCGACGAAAAACUUGAUUUUUUGAAGAAGGAAAAUAAAACGAAUAAAAGUGUUUAGGGUUAACUCGUUAAGUAAUUACUAAUUAGAAAUGAAAUUCCCAACGUAGGCAUUUUCGUGAGUAGUAGUAUAUUUAAGUAAACCUUCUUAUAAAAUACUCCAAGUGUAAUAUAUAACACUAGUGUUUUACGUUCUUUGAAAUGAAUAUAUGUUAUACUGUACGAUGUAUGUAAUUGAAAAUAUUAAAGUAAGUUUAUUGUAAUCGUAAAUUUGUAAAAUAUGAGACUUUCUUUGUGGUUAUAUUUCUUCAGGAUUUUUAAUAUCUCCAGUUCUUGAGAUCACAACGUCACGGCAUCUGGCAUAUAGCAGUAGAAUUAGUAAUACGUAAUUAGUGGAUACUUAAAUUUCAUUGUGUACAUACAUAUAUAAUACAACUAUGUAUGAUUCCUGUACUUUGUAAUAACUAAUAAGUUAAACAUAGAUACGUCGAUUUUAACACUUCUAACUUCAUGGGAAAUUGAUAUUACAGUCUUACAAAUUUGCAGUUAAACUUGUUUUGAUUCUAACUACUUUCAAUUGUCCAUAAACAGCGUGCUAAGUAAGCAGUAGUCAAAUUUUAGUUAUAGGCAGUCUUAAUUAGUGACUAGCUUAGCAAAAAUUAUAAAAGUCAACAAGUAGGAAUAUUCUCGUGUUUAAAACACAUUUGAAUUUGUGUCGUAUGAUAUAGAUUUGUAAAAUUAAAAUGACCUCUGCGAUAUAAAAAUGGUCAACUAAUAUUAAGUAAUACAAUAAAUGUGUAUUAAUUGUAAACUACGUUUAAUAGGGUCUUUGAUGAAGUUUCAUGAUGCAAUAAUGCUUCUAAGUAUAUAAAACUUUGUAGAAUACUUUUCUGAUUAUUUUAUAGUCGAGCUUGUCAUUUACUUAUUUUUUUUUAACUUUAAGAACUUCUAUUCUACGUGUUUUAGUAAAACAGUUAUUUCAAUUUAUCUGACUUUUAGGAAAAAAUGUUUCAUCUACUCUAUUACUAUUCUUAUAAUCUAGCAAUUAUGAUAACUAAAAUGUGACUUUCAAGUAUACAUAAACUUAAUAUACUCCUUACUAUUAAAUUUUAUAAAUGUGAUGUCACAACAAACAUACGUGUUCUUUAAUUCCUUACAUGAAAGUAGCUCAGAUAGUAUUAAACACGAAAUGUUGACAUUUAAUACUACUGAAUUAGUUGAUGUACAUAUAAUUCUGCGCUAACUUGUAGUUGAUAGCGGUUUAUUUUAAUUUUUUGUUAACUUCUGUCUUUAACAUCUAUAUACUUCAGAAUUAACAAGGGUCGUGAUUUACAGUGCGUACUUAUUUUAAAUGCCUGUUUUAACGGAUUUCCGUACUAAAAUUAACAGACUGAAGCAACAUGCUCGUUUCAUCCACUAAUGUGCUUCCUAAGUCAUUAGUUUCAAUUUAGUCAAGGUGUGAAUAUUAGUCCUAGACGUAAGUACUCAAUGUAUUAAUUUGUGGUUGUGUUAUGUUCCUACUGUGUAUCAAAGAUUUAAAAUUUAUGCUUGUCGUGGGACGUUCAAUGAAAACUACAGGCCAAAAAUUAAGUAAUGUAUUUUUUUUCAUGAUUAAGAACGGCUUCAUUGUGUAAGAAUUGUGGUUGCAUUGCCAAGAUAUUGGACUAUCGUAACAUAAGAAAUCUAAUAAGUUAGUUGUAGUUGUUUAAUGCCUGAAACUGUGCUUUUCACGAAAUGGCUUGAAAUACAUGAUACACUAUGUUUUGUUCUCGUAAAUUCAAAAUUGACUUUUUUCCAUGUCGUGAAGUGGGUAACAACACAAAGUGUACAAAUGUAUAUAUUUCUAAAUACUGUUUCUAGAAAUAUGUGUGCUUAUUUUAAAUUUUAAUGAUUUUUGAAAAAAUGACGAUUAAGUCAAACAGUACUUGUGAGCACUGCAUAAUUGUGAACAUUGUAGUCACUGGCGUUUCUGAAUGUUGUAUCCUAGUGAUGUAAAAGUUCGUUUGGUUGCUAAUUUGCCCACUUAAUGCAAUAUUAAACCAACUUGAAGGCACUGUAUGUUUAUAAUUAGAGUUACUGUGAGUGUUGUAAUUUUCACUUAUUGGCAAAGAACAUCAGGUAUGUAAACAUUUAUAGUGUGACGAUUAAACGCUAUUUUGAGUACUAGCGCUUAUUUUAGAGUUGCAUUUGUUGUUUGGUUUCUGGCAAAUUGCUGUAGUUAACGUGUAUUAAGAUCCAUUUGUGUCAGACUAUAUAAAGAAAUUGAACUCUUAUAUAGCUGAUUGUGUCGUGAGAUUGCUGCUUGUAGCACGUCGCCGCAUAAAAAUAAAGCUCCCACAUUGCUAAACCACCUCCCACAUAUUUUCAAUUUUUAAGCAAUCUACAUCUAGAUGUACCUUUUAUUCUACUUCUUUUCGUAGCUUUUAUACGUAGUUAUAAUUGUUUCACAAUCUUAAGAUUGUCUUCUUUUCCGAACUUUCCUAUUGUCUGUCCACUUUUUAUCUACCUUAUUGAUAGUACUCAGCACACGAAAAAUAUCAAUAUUACUUACUACUAAGUGUUAAAUUUUAUCUCCUCUAGCACUAUAACGAAUUAUCGCACGGAAUAAAAUUGAUCGAAAUGUCCAUAAUACUAAUACAAAUCGCAAAGCUUAGUCAAAGCGACACGAUAAUCCUAUUCCAUUUUACUACUUUAUUAUAACUGUUUUACACUUUUAACAACGGUCUUGUUGUCAUUUAUCACUUUUUUACUUUUUCCAUUUUGCCACUAUUUUAUAAAAACGAAUGCUUUUCCCCUCAUUCUCAAUCGAAUUCCCUCUCAGACAACCCCAUGCAUGUUGAAGCGACUUCUUCGUGCUUGUUACCCCGAGCUUCCCCGUAGUUUUUUAACUCAUUUCUGGGGCUUUAAUAAUUCGAUUGCUUUUUCAAUUUUUGUACGAAUUCGUGUGGAACUACCUCUGCUUUUUAAGGUACAUAUCUGUUGGAUGUUUGUCGUUGUUGGAGUUUCUGUAGAGUUGAGUGUAAAUAAUUUACGAUACAGGUAGUGAUUGAUCUAUUUAACAGUUAACAUAGAAUGUUUAGAGUUGUUACAUUCAUGUGAACUAAAUCUUGUUCCCGCCUCGAAAAAUAAGUACUAGAGCACAGCUUAACACACUUAAGUCAUCAUUUCAGCAAGAGCAUGGUCAUUUAAGCUUGUCAGUGCUGUGUAGAAAGGUUGACAUGUUGAUCAGGAAUGGAGGUUUAAAUAUGGCGCUUCAAGUUUGAUAACAUACUCACGUUUUUGGUAUAUUGUUUUGAGGAAUCUUAGGUGUUGUUUUAUUUAAUGGUUUGGUUAAUGUUGGCGAUUGUUCUGAGUAUUUACAGCGUAUGGUGGAUUAUGUAUGUUUAACUUUCAGUGUAUGUUAGCAAAGGAAAGUAUUGGGUAAAUAUGUUAUACUGUGUUUCGGCUUGACAUAGAUUUUUUGUAUAUACUUAUAUCACAGUUACAGUUUUUUGCUUGUCUGCUUUAUAGUUUAAGGUGUUUUUAUUUCUUUGGAACGAAAAAUUAGGAAAGGAAUGGGGCAUUUCGUAAUUGCUGCAAGAAAAAUUGAUUUGGAAAUGAGCGCAUUAUACUAGUAUAUUUGAGUUUAAGACAUCGUAAGAGGAAAAGUGCGUAUUAUGGUUUUCAGAGUUCGUUAUAUUUUAAGGCGUUCGUAGAAAUACGUUGCGCAUUUGAAAACGCGAGAAAAUUUGUAAUCGAUGCGUCAACUGAAUUUUGAUUCUGAUAUUGGUGUAAACGUCCAUUAGUAAUAAGAGCUAGCUUUAAGUAUUUGGUUGAGUAACAAAGCUAAAAGAGUUUUAUGAUUUAUUUAUACGUACAUGAGUACAUGAAAGGAAACAUAUUUAUUAAACUUUCCAGAAAACGUUAUUUGUAUUUCGAAUGUGUAUUGAUUGAUUUUAUAAUUAUAUCUUUGACAUCAAGUUUUAACUAAAUGUAAUUGAUACUGGUGCGUUCACUACUACCAACAAUGGCGGAUCACUUUUAAGAUAUGUUGCGAAGUGUUAGACGUAUGAAAAAAUAAGAACGUAAAUAGAAGACGUACAGAUAAUGAUAAAAAUAAAAUUAUUAUAUAAAGCGCUACUUUUUGACUGAUUUUGAUAUAAAUUUGCUAUAACAACAUUAUAGGUGUAAAGUGUAACAUAGAGCGGUAAAUAAAGAGACGAGAACAUAGAAUAUAGGAUAAUUUUUUAAAUAAAUUUUAUUGAAUUUGUGUUGAACUGCGUUGCGGACAGAAUUUAAAAAUGUACAUUGUAGGCCAAAAAUUGAAAAUAUUUAAUUAUGAAAAACGAAGAGUUUAUUGAAACAAUUUGUAAUUUUCUUUCUAAAUAAAACAUUUAUGAGAUAAAAUUUUGACAACAAGUAAACAAUUAUAUGUUUGAAUUAUUGUGUGAAAAAAUAUUUUGACAAAGCGGAAAUUCGAUUGAAUUGUGAAACAACAAUGGUAUAAAAAACAAUAUUCGUGAAAAGUUUUCUAUAAAAUGCGUUGUGUUAAAUACAUAAAAAAGAAGUACCUAUUAAUGGAAGUCUGUUAUAGUAAAGCGAAAUGAAAAAACGUGCGAAAUAAAUGAAAAAUAAAACAAAAUGAAUAGCCAAAAAGUGUAGAGGUGGAGUAGAGGACAAAAUUUAAAAAUGUAUAUUAUAGACGAAAAAUUUACUUGAUUGUACUGAAAACGUAAAAUAAAAUAAAACAUUUCAAAACAGAAAUAGCUUCAACUGAACAAGGUAUUUAAUUAUUAAAAACGAAGAUUUUAUUGAAACAAUUUGUAAUUUUCUUUCUAAGUAAAACACUUAUGAGAUAAAAUUUUGACAGCAAGUAAAUGAUUGUAUGUAUGAAUUAUUGUGUAAAAAAAAUAUAUGACAAAGCGGAAAUUCGAAUGAAUUGUAAAACAAUAAUGGCAUUAGAAACAAUAUUCGUGAAAAGUUUUCCAAAAAUGCGUUAUAUUAAAUACAUAAAAAGGAAGUAUUAAUGGAAGUAUGUUACAAUAAAGCGAAAUGAAAAAACGUGCGAAAUAAAUGAAAAAUAAGACAAAAUGAAUAGCCAAAAAGUGUAGAGGUGGAGUUGACGACAAAAUUUAAAAAUGUACAUUAUAGCCGAAAAAUUGACUUGACUGUACUGUAAACGUAAAACAUAAUGAAAAAUGAAAUUCGAAGCCAAAAUAACUUCAAUUGAACAAGGUAUUUAAUUAUUAAAAACGAAGAUUUUAUUGAAACAAUUUGUAAUUCUCUUUCUAAAUAAAACACCUAUGAAAUAAAAUUUUGACAGCAAGUAAACGAUUGUAUGUAUGAAUUAUUGUGAAAAAAAAAAACUAUGACAAAGCGGAGAUUCGAAUGAAUUGAAAAACAAUAAUGGCAUUAGAAACAAUAUUCGUGAAAAGUUUUCCAAAAAUGCGUCGUUAUAAAUACAUAAAAAGAAUUAAUGGAAGUAAUUUACAAUAAUGCGAACUGAAAAAAAGUGCAAAAUAAAUGGUAAAAUAAGACAAAAUGCAUAGCCAAAAAGUGUAGAAGUGGAGUUGACGACAAAAUUUAAAAAUGUACAUUAUAGCCGAAAAAUUGACUUGAUUGUACUGUAAACGUAAAACACAAUGAAAAAUGAAAUUCGAAGCCAAAAUAACUUCAACUGAAAGGUAUUUAAUUAUUAAAAACGAAGAUUUUAUUGAAACAAUUUGUAAUUUUCUUUCUAAAUAAAACACCUAUGAAAUAAAAUUUUGACAGCAAGUAAACGAUUGUAUGUAUGAAUUAUUGUGAAAAAAAAAAAUACUAUGACAAAGCGGAAAUUCGAAUGAAUUGUAAAACAAUAAUGGCAUUAGAAACAAUAUUCGUGAAAAGUUUUCCAAAAAUGCGUCGUUAUAAAUAUACAAAAGAAGUAUUAAUGGAAGUAAUUUACAAUAACGCAAAAUGAAAAAAAGUGCAAAAUAAAUGGUAAAAUAAGACAAAAUGCAUAGCCAAAAAGUGUAGAGGUGGAGUUGACGACAAAAUUUAAAAAAGUACAUUAUAAGCGAAGAAUUGACUUGAUUGUACCGAAAAUGUAAAACGAAAUGAAAAAUUUCAAAGCCAAAAUAAUUUCAACAGAACAAGGUAUUUAAUUAUGAAACACGAAGAGCUUAUUGAAACAAUUUGUAUUUAAUUUUUUUCUUUCUAAAUGAAACACUUAUGAAAUAAAAUUUUGAGAACAAGUAAACGAUUGUAGGUAUGAAUUAUUGUGUAAAAAAUGAUAUGACAAAGCGGAAAUUCGAACGAAUUGUAAAACAACAAUGGCAUAAAAAGCAACAUUCGUGAAAAGUUUUCCAUAAAAUAUGUUGUAUUAAAUACAGAAAAAGUAUGUUACUGUAAAGCGAAAUGAAAAAACAUGCGAAACAAACGGUAAAAUAAGACAAAAUGAAUAGCCAGAAAGUGUAGAGGUGGAAUUGAGGACAAAAUUUAAAAAUGUACAUUAUUGACGAAAAAUUGACUUGACUGUACCGAAAACGCAAAACGAAAUAAAAAAUAAAAUUCGAAGCCAAAAUAACUUCAACUGAACAAGGUAUUUAAUUAUGAAAAACAAAAAGUUAAUUGAAACAAUUUCUAAUUUUCUUUUAAAUAAAACACUUAUGAGAUAAAAUUUUGACAACAAGUAAACGAUUCUAUGUAUGUAUUAUUGUGUAAAAAAAUAGUAUGACAAAGCGGAAAUGCGAAUGAAUUGUAAAAUAAUAAUGGCAUAAGAAACAGUAUUCGUGAAAAAUUUUCCAUAAAAUGCGUCGUUAUAAAUACAUAAAAGAAGUAUUAAUGGAAGUAAUUUACAAUAAAGUGAAAUGAAAAAACGUGCGAAAUAAAUGGUAAAAUAAGACAAAAUGCAUAGCCAAAAAGUGUAGAGAUGAAGUUGAGAACAAAAUUUAAAAAUGUACAUUAUAGACGAAAAAUUGACGUGAUUGUACCGAAAACGCAAAACAAAAUAAAAAAUUUCAAAGCAAAAAUAACUACAACUGAACAAGGUAUUUAAUUACGAAAAACGAAGAGUUUAUUGAAACAACUUGUAAUUUUCUUUCUAAAUAAAACACUUAUGGGAUAAAAUUUUGACAGCAAGUAAACGAUUGUAUGUAUGAAUUAUUGUGGAAAAAAAUAGUAUGACAAAGCGGAAAUUCGAAUGAAUUGCAAAACACCAUUGGCAUAAAAAACAACAUUCGUGAAAAGUUUUCCAUAAAAUGCGUUGUAUUAAAUACACAAAAAAGAACUAUUAACGGAAGUAUGUUACAGUAAAGCGAAAUGAAAAAACGUGCGAAAUAAAUGCUAAAAAUAAGACAAAAUGAAUCGCCAAAAAGUGUAGAGAUGGAGUUGAGGACAAAAUUUAAAAAUGUACAUUAUUGACGAAAAAUUGAUUUGAUUGUACCGAAAACGUAUAAAACAAAAUGAAAAAUUUCGAAGCCAAAAUAACUUCAACUGAACAAGAUAUUUAAUUAUAAAAAAAUGAAGAGUUUAUUGAAACAACUUGUAAUUUUCUUUCUAAAUAAAACACUUAUGGGAUAAAAUUUUGACAGCAAGUAAACGAUUGUAUGUAUGAAUUAUUGUGGAAAAAAAUAGUAUGACAAAGCGGAAAUUCGAAUGAAUUGCAAAACACCAAUGGCAUGAAAAACAACAUUCGUGAAAAGUUUUCCAUAAAAUGCGUUGUAUUAAAUACACAAAAAAGAACUAUUAACGGAAGUAUGUUACAGUAAAGCGAAAUGAAAAAACGUGCGAAAUAAAUGGUAAAAUAAGACAAAAUGCAUAGCCAAAAAGUGUAGAGAUGAAGUUGAGAACAAAAUUUAAAAAUGUACAUUAUAUACGAAAAAUUGACGUGAUUGUACCGAAAACGCAAAACAAAAUAAAAAAUUUCAAAACAAAAAUAACUACCACUGAACGAGGUAUUUAAUUACGAAAAACGAAGAGUUUAUUGAAACAACUUGUAAUUUUCUUUCUAAAUAAAACACUUAUGGGAUAAAAUUUUGACAGCAAGUAAACGAUUGUAUGUAUGAAUUAUUGUGAAAAAAAAAUGGUAUAACAAAGCGAAAAUUCGAAUGAAUUGUAAAACAGUAAUGGCAUAAGAAACAAUAUUCGUGAAAAGUUUUCCAAAUAAUGCGUUAUAUUAAAUACAUAAAAAAAAAGUAUUAAUGGAAGUAUGUUACAGUAAAGCGAAAUGAACAAACAUGCGAAAUAAAUGGUAAAAAUAAGACAAAAUGAAUAGCCAAAAAAUGCAGAGGUGGAGUUGAGGACAAAAUUCAAAAAGUCCAUUAUAGACGAAAAAUUGACUUAAUUGUAACGAAAGCAUCAAACAGAAUGAAAAAUUAAAUUCGAAGCCAAAAUAACUUAAACUGAACAAGGUAUUUAAUUAUAAAAAAAUGAAGAGUUUAUUGAAACAAUUUGUAACUUUCUUUCUGAAUAAAACACUUAUGAGAUAUAAUUUUGACAGCAAGUAAACGAUUGUAUGUAUGAAUUAUUGUGCGAAAUAAAUGGUAAAAAUAAGACAAAAUGAAUAGCCAAAAAGUGUAGAGGUGGAGUUGAGGACAAAAUUUAAAAAUGUACAUUAUAGACGAAAAAUUGUAUUGAUUAUAGCGAAAACAUAAAACAAAAUGAAAAAUUUCCAAGCCAAAAUAGCUUCAACUCAACAAGGUAUUUAAUCACGAAAAAUGAAGAGUUUAUUGAAACAAUUUGUAAUUCUCUCUCUAAAUAAAACACUUAUGAGAUAAAAUUUUGAUAACAAGGAAAUUAUUGUAUGGAUGAAUUAUUGUUUAAAAAAAUAGUAUGACAAGGCGGAAAAACAGGUAUUAAUGGAAGUAUCUUAAGUGUAAAGCGAAAUGAAAAAACGUGCGAAACAAAUGGUAAUAAGACAAAUUGAAUAAGCAAAAGGUGCUGAGGUGCGCUAAAUAUGCGUAAAAUGUACCAAAAACAUAAAACAAAAUGAAAAAUUUCAAAGCCAAAAUAACUUCAAAGUAUUUUUUUAUGAACAACGAAGAGUUUAUUGAAACAAUGUGUAAUUUUCUUUCCAAAUAAGACACUUUAUGAGACAAAAUUUUGGUAGGGAGUAAACGAUUGCGAAAUGUAUAAAUUAUUGUGUAAAAAUAGUAUGACAAGGCGGAAAAACAGGUAUUAAUUCAAAUAUGUUACGACAAAGCGAAAUGAAAAACAUGCGAAAAUAAGACAAAAGAAUAACCAAAAAGUGUAGAGGUGGAGGGUGGGCUAAAUAUGCGCAAAACCAUUUUAUUCGAUCUAAAGGGGUAGUUACGUCAACGUGCUGUAAAAACCACACAUUUAAAAAUACUUAGUUCUGUAAUCAAAUUAUUAUUAUAAACCAAAAAGUGCGUAAAAAUGACACCAAACGAGUAUCGAAAUAAUGAUAUUACUUAAUACUGUUAAGAGCGAUGAAAAGCAACUUUAUAGCUUUCUAGGUAAAAUAAUACAAGUAAUUAAUAAUAAAAAUACGUAAAGGCGGAUAACGUUCAUUAUACCAGAAACACCAAAAUUCUAUAUGGAACCCUACUAUCAUAUUCGACGUCUAUUGUAAAUUACGUUAGUAUUAUUAUUACUAUUAUUAAUAUAAUUAAUAAUGUUAGAGGACACUGUCCUAUGAAAUUGUUGUACGCCCGGUAAUAUUUUAGAUAGUUAAAAAUAAGUAUAUAUGUGAAAUAAAUUCUACAAUUAAGUGAAAUAGAAAAACCGCGAAACAAAUAAAAAGUGUAGAGGUGGGAUAAAUACGAACAAUAUAUUUUCUUCAAAUUGCUAGUUAUUUUAGUGUGUUUAAUUCGGUAAUCUUUCUAACCCAAAUGGCGCUAAAAUAGAAGUGAAAGUGAAAAACGGCAACAUAGAAGUUAAUUACUGCAAUGUAAAAAGUCAUUAACAGUAUUAAGACCCGGUUCAUAAAAGCGCUUAAACACGCAAUUAAUUAAUCAUGUGAUCGACGUCAACCAAUCCAGUGCUAAAUUCCCGGGUCAACUGCACAUUAAAUUUUAAUUCGAAUUAAGUGUUUCAUUAAAUAAGCUACCAUCAACCGGCCUUAAGAGUGACGAAAGAAUGUCAAAACAAAAGCAACACAUACCUACUUUUCGUAAUUUUUAGCGCCCUAAGUAAGAUAAAAUGUUAGAAAUUAUUAAAUGAAUGUAAUAAGUGGCAAAAAAAGUGUGAGUGAAGUAUUGAUCAUACGAUGAAUUAAGGUUGCAAAUAGUAAUGUAAACUCUAAGUUAAUAAUAAUAAGUAAAUAUGUAGCAGAAUCAUGGUGUAGUGGUGCGACAUUAACUAUUAUUUUAUAUUAUGGUUGUAUAAGUUUAAUAUAAUUAAUUAAUACUAAUCGGAAAUAUUUGUCAACAUACAUAUAAACGAAUUAUUGCAUAUUUGUUAGCAAGUAAUCUACUGAAAACACCAAAACUCGUCAAAUUGCGAAUAAAGUCGAAAAGGGAUCAUGUAUUAUUGUAGCAAUCAAUGAAAAAUUGUUGUUGUUUACUAAUAUAGUUUCUAAGUAAGAAAAUUUUUUCGAGACCAAUAUGAUAUUUAAAUGUUUGUACGUUUGUCGGAAACUUAAUAUUUAAUAAUUUUGACUCCGUUUUAUAGAAAAGGUAUAGGUUUUGAUUAUGUUGUUAAUGAAUAAAUUAUUAAAUUAAUUUCAAAACGAUACUUUCACAUCUCAUUGUUUCUUUAGUAUUAAAUAUCUAAUAAUAAUGGUUGUCUGACAUACAUUUCAGUAAAUUACAUCGUCUUAGGUGAAAUAAUAAGUAUAUAAUUUAAAUGUAAAAAGACUUAUAUUAUUUAUAGAAAAAUACUGCAGCUAUUUGACAUUAAAUAUAUGAUUACAAUACUAUAAAAAUUUAGAUACACAUAAAAAAUAUUUGUAUUUCGAGUAGGAAACAGGUUUUAAAUGUACGAAAAACGCGAACUGUGUAAUCCACAAACUAUUGAAAAAUAAUUGGAAAUACUACAAAAAUUUAACAAAUUUCUCAUCAUAUAACACAAAAAUAGCGAUAUAAAUUAUGGGCAUAACUGUAAAUACAAUGGGUAUUAUAUUUGACGUGUAAAAUAAAAAACUAGUUAGUGUGGUAACAAAUAUGUUACAAUAGAGCGAACUGGAAAAAAUAAAUAAUUUUAAACAAAGCGAAAAACGAAAAAGUGCAGAGGAGGUGGGUGGGCCAGACAUAUAAAAACCAUUUUAUUCAAAGUAUGGACAGAACACGUUCGAACAAAAAUAAGGCGCAGAAAGUACUAAAAACAACAAUUGAAAAAGUACAAAAACAGUACAAAUAAACCAAAUACAAGCCAGUUUAAAAGGAAGACAAAUUUGGAAAAUAUUGCUGAGGUAGAUAUGCGUGCUAUUAUGAAGUAAAAAAUAAGGGUUAUUAACUAUAGAUAUAAAUAUAGAUUUGAAGUAUUAAAAUGUGAAAAUACAGGGGAUGAAGUGGAAAAAUAGAAUACAUAAUAACAAUGUAGAAAUGUACAAGAAAUGGUUAAUGUAAACAUUAUAAUAAUUGUAUAAAACUGAGGAGGAAUAAUUCCACUCAAAAUAUACGGUCUGACAUAAUAAUAAUACGGAAAGUAAAAAAGCAAAUAAAUUUUAAGAGGUUAAUGCCUUAAUUUGAUUUGUAAUUAUAUAUAUUAUAUAUUAUAUGUUUUAAUUGCGUUAGAAUUAGCCAUGGCAGUUUCAACUAACCAUGUUUAGGGAGAUACGCCGAUAUUACAAGAUAAGAAAUAUUAAUUGUUAAUCUUUAUGUUAUGUAAUUCCCAUAUAAGGUAUAUAUAUUACAGAGGUUUUUAAGAAAACAAUUCAGUAAUAUACAACUCGUUUAAAAUAAUUUAUGACGAAAUACAAUAUAUCAUUUACUGAAAUCAAAAAUACAGCCUUUUGUAACGUUGUGAUAAAGUGAAAAAAACUUAGAAAUGAAAAGUGACUUCAGUGUAUUAUUAGGAUUUAUUUUUAAAAUAAUGGUAAUCGCACUCUAUGAUUAUGUUAAGUUUGACACAACAAUAAAAUCAGGUUUAUAUUAUUUUUAUACAUAAAUAUAAUAUUAUUUGGUAUAUGAAGUGUAAUAUUGAAUAUAUGUUCUAAACAAAAUAACUUUCAUAAAAACGCACAAGCCCUACAUCUUGUAGUAAUAAUUUAGGUAAGGUUAAUAUUUACGUUAACAAUUGAAUAUUUACACAAGAAAUAUGUUGUAUUUGUACGGAUAAGUGGUAAUUUUCCUACGAGGGAAACAAAAUAGCAUUUUUUUUCAUCAAUAAUUUUGUAUUUUUUUUGACUUCAUAUACUGCUUCUAUUGAAUAAAUAAUAAUCAAUGAAAUCAAACCAUUGCCUACAAAAAUGUGAUAAAAUAUUCACGCAUGAAUUGGUGAUAUUGAAAAUCAAAAUUAACUUCAGGUUAUUUUAGCGUUAUUCUAAUUUGAUUAUAUAAGGUUAUAAUAAGUUGUAAACAAAAAGAGGGUAAAGGUGGCUCAUGUACAUGUAGGUGAUUACGGAUUACUUUUAAAAUAUACUAAUUUGAAAAUAAUUCAUAUCUGAAACUCUUAGUCUUAAACGUAGUCAAAAACUAAAUCCGAAUUUGAUAAAAAAAGGGAAUUAUCAGGAUCUUUUUUAGCAUAUAGCAAUAAUCAUUAAUUAUUUCUAUAAAAGCAGUUCGUUUUUGAGGUUAACUACUUAUUUUGAGUAAGUUUAAGUAUAAUAUGUAUUUUCUUUUGUGUAUUUAUUAUUCUCGACACUUUGUGUAUUCCUCGCUAACCAAAACAGCAAUUAAAUAUUUGCUAUGAACAAGAAUGUCGGAAUUUUUUUUUAGUGUGGCAAAAUUGGAGUAUUAAGGAAAUUUAAAUAUCGAAUGUUUAGUUAAUGAUAAAUUUUUCAGUAGAAGAAACCCGGUCAAAAGUACAAGCGAACAUGCAGGUAUCAAUAUAAUCGGUAAAACUAAUGAACAAAAGGCACUUUCAGGGGUCAAAGUAUUAUAACAUUGAAAAUAUGGCAAAAUAUAUUACUUCAUGAUAAUAUUAAUCGGAACUAAGGUAUUGUAGGUGUAAAUACAAAAUUCAAAACAUUAAAUGUAAAAAUGGAAUUUGAUAUGAAAAGAUGAAAACAUUGGAAUAAUAUUAUAAAUAAAUGAUGUACAUAAAUACUUGUAAAAAAGACAGUAUACUUAUGUAGAUAGUUGAGAUAAUAUGCUGUAAUUGUAAAGAAAACAGUUGUUAUGAUAAGAAUGCAGCGAAAAAUGUAAAAAACCACGUUGAGAUUAUCUAAUUUUAUGUUGGAAGUAUGAUUUAUAUUAACUAAAAAACUUGUUACAAAAACUAUGAUUAUUACGAAAUUCUUUACAAAAUAAAUACUCUAAUUGAAAUCUGAAGAUGAAAACAGCGGCUGAAGUGGAACAAAGAACACAAUAAGAGCAUAAAAUUCUUUAAAAUGUCAAGUCUUUUAAGGGCAAUAAUAAGUGAAACAAGCUUAAGUAACUUAUGGAGAAAUCAAUAAAAUCUGUUUACAAUGGUAAAAUAAAAUAAAUUGGUACAGAGUUGUGCGUAUUUAGUAUAUUUUAACUUUCGAAAUGUAUAAAUAUAAGCUAUUGUGAGGCAACAUUAAGUAUAAGUAAAUCUUUUUCAGUUAUUAUUUUUAAUUGUGUAUUAUAUUUAGAGAAACAAGUACUGUUGAGGUCUGUGUGUUUCAUUAAGGAUAUCAUUAUAACUGAAAAUCAAAAUAUAGCCUUUUAUAUAGUUGUGAUAAAGCAAAAAAGAAUAUCAGUAGUACAUACCAUGCGAAAUGUAGUUAUUGAUAACGCAAAAAACUAAUACAGGACAUCCAAUCUGUACUGAAAAAAUACAAAAAUAGAAUAAAAAUGGCUUUCGGGCACUGUCACGUGCAUAAAAUAUUGAUUUAUUAGAUCGUAUUAGUUAUGGAUAAUUUCUUAUCAAACAACCAAAUCAAAAUUGUUGCCUGUAAAAAAAAAUUGUGAUAAACUAUACUUAUCCAAAUUCGUGAUACAGAAAAUCAAAAUUUUCUACUUUGAUUAAGUUCAACAACAGUAUUAAAAAAAGUUACCCAAAAAAUGAAAUGAAAAUGAUACACAUCUAAACGAGUUCAUAUUUUCCUGGUGAACUAAAAGAAACUAAACAAAAAACAUGUCUAUGGACAUCGAACAACGCAAAAAUGCUAACACACAGUAUCAGACUUCGUUCUUGGUAAUUAAUAUACUAGAACCUUUAGUAUUAAGUGUUAUUAAAAACUAUUUAAGUUAUAAAAUUAAGUACAAUAUUGAUAUAAUUAAUGAAAUGCAUAGGUUAUAAGCAGAAAUACUUAAUUAAAGUUUCGAAAAUGGCGCAGAUUUUAAAUUAUCUUGUAUAUAAGUUUAAGGAAGCUGUAAAUACGUUAUUGUAUAAAAUGACAUUUCAACAUGUUUUCUAUGCAAAACAUUGGUCUUAAGGAUAAUUAAAUACGUGUGCUACACGCAUUCGUAAUCGCUAGGCUGAUAUGACUUAUUCUACAGUAAAGUUCUAAUAAAGCUAGUAACAACAUAACAUUUAUGUAAAUUUUAAGAUAUUCCGGGGGUAAAACCGAUGUAAUUAUGAAGACGUAGCUGAAAUAGUGUAUUACUAAGGUAAACUACAUAACAAACCUGUAUUUCCAAGUUUUAGUGCCAAAUAGGUCUACAAAAACUGAAUUUAGUAGGAAAAAUAGUAGGAAACAACAAAUUUAAAGUUAAACCAGCAUAAGUAAAAGUAAGGUCACUGUAAAGACGUAUUAGAUAUUUAACUGUAACGUAUGUACAUAUUAAAAAAAAUGUAACCAAAGAUUUUAAGUUGUUGAUUAGUUACAAGGGGUAAACUUAUUUUUUUUUAAUUACAUAAAAUUUGAACUUCAACAUAAGACAUAAGAAAUGUAUAUAAAAUAUAAAUAUGCAUUUUCUAAAAGCGUUGAAAGUCUGAAAAUUUCACGGUCAUAGUCAGCAAUACAUUAUAUUUCUAGUGUAAGUACAAACUUUGUACAAAACCAAUAAGAAUGUAAAUUCACUUGUCUAUAUUAAUGUUUUCAGUGCUAUUAUAAACUUUGAAAUUUGUAAGUGAGUAGGGAUGUCUAGAAUAAACUUAAUAUCAGUUAUUAUAUACUUAGAACGAAAAUUAAGUCAGUAAUAUUGCUUUAAUAGCGAAUUAAGAGAAAUAUGAAAAAGGAAGUCAACAAGAGCCAAAUAUGUAAAAAAGAACCAAAGAUAUAGGAAUAUUGUAAAAUAUAAGGCUAAAUAGUCACACUAUUUGAAACAUAAAAUUUGUAAUGUGUUCUGAAAAUAAAAAAAUAUGAAAAGUUUUGAAAAAAGCGUAUUUGUCCAACAGUCAUUUUAAUAUACUGAGAACGCAAAUAUUAGAAAGAAGAUACCACAACUACCUCCUUUUAGUCUCUUUUUUGAGAGUAAACGUAAAAUUUGUUUAUUAAAAUUCCAUCUUAUAGGCAACUGUCGCUAAAAAAUUUGGACAUGGAUAUGAGACUAAUUCGUGUGUAAAAAUGAAACAUUUCGAAGGCUUUUUGGACAGAUACGACUUUUUCAAGUGAUUUAAUUUUUAAAAACGAUACUCAAUUUAUUUUUAAUGCAUUACGACCUAACGCAGUUUAUUAUUAUUAUUAUUAAAUUAGAGUACUUACAGAGGCUAAACCUAUAUUGUAUACCAACCCCAAAGUGCAUUACAAAACCAAUGUGCGUUACGCUAAUUUUAUUUUUCCAUUUGAUUUAUAAUUUUUAUACUUCUGUCCAAGCAACAAAUUUUGUAAUAGGUAAAAUUAAAUUUUAAGGAUUUUAUAACAAGUUUCCAACGAUUUAUACGAAGAUUAUGUUCAUUCUGCGAGUUGAAAAUGAAAUGAAACAAAAGACAGUUAUUUAGAAUUAAGAGUUCGUUAAAUAUUUCAUCGAUAAUAAUAAUGGGUAAUAAUAAGGAAUAUUUCGUCGACAAAAACCAUAAAAUGCGUGUAAUGUCGUCAAUAAUAACGCUAAACUACGUGUAAAUCCUAAAAAAAUAACAUACGUAAAAUAAUACCGUUACCAAUAUUACCAAUAUUAUAAGAAUGUGGUGGUGAAUAGAUGUUUUCGAAUGUCCUUUUAAAGGUCUUCCUUGUGUUAAAUAAACACAGAUUUGAUAAACGCAGGUUUUAAAUCGGUAGGUACUUCCAGAAAGUUCUUACGUGCUAAAUCCAAAAACAUAUAGACAAGAAGCACAAAAUUGCGGCCAAAAUAGAUUAAUGAAAAAAAAAAGAAAUUAAGAGCGAUCAAAAUACGGCAAACAUAGAACAUAAUAUAAAACUACACAACAUACAAAUAAUGUAGAGUAAAAUAAAAUUAAGUCCGGAGGAUAUAAUGAAUCUCAUAGAUAUUAAGAUGUCUAAUGAAACAAAUAAGUUCUUAAAAAAAGCGCAAAAAUUGGUGUAUACAAAAUAUACAAAGAAGGUUAAGAUUUUCCGAAGGUUGCAAGUCGGAGUUUAAGUUGAAGACGAAAUUAUUAAAUGAAGGUUUAGCAGGAGUAAUAUAUUGAAAAGGUGUAAUAUACAGAAUGGUGUAAAAAAGGCUAUAUUAUUAUUUCAUGAGUAAUAAAAAUAAUGGUCGAAGUAAGAUCAAAAAACAAAUGAUACAAAAAAAAAACUUACAAAUACGGUAAAUUACUAAUGCUAUAGCUGAAGUAUAUGUCAAAUGUGGAAUGUUAAAAAUAAAAUACAGUUGUCAAAAAUUGAAAUAUAAUUGAAGGUGAAUGAUAAAUGUGUAAAUGAGAAAAAAGUGUAAAAUAAAAACAAUAGCAAAACGGUGUAACUGAAUACAGGGUGUUGAAAAAAGUGAUACAAAAAUCAAAAUUUUAGAUUAAAACUAUUGAUAUAGAUAGACUGUGAUAAAAACAGUUAUAAGGUUCUUACUACAGAAUUAAAAAUUAGCAGUUUUACGUAUAAUAGGUGAAAUUCAAGUAUGGCACAAAUUAACAUUUAAAUGAUUUAAUUUAAUUUCUACGUUAAAAUUAUCAUAUGACUGAUUAGAAUUAGUUACAACUUAAAAUAAACUUUUAUGUUUAGUGCAUUAGUCACAAUCCAGUCUUAGCAACAUAAACUCAUAUAUAUAAGAAAACAGCACUUCGUUACAAAUGUUCAUUUUUUUUAAACUAUAAUUAAAAUUAAAAUUUACAAUGUUUAUCCAUUGCUACUUAAUUUUACAUUAGUAGAAACUGAAUCCCGAAAAUAACUCGAACAACUAUGGUACCAUAUUGAAAAUUUUAAAACUAUAGUUCUGGUUUUGAUAACUUGAAACAAAUUGUGAAUUGGUGCACCAAUAAAAUCAAAAACGUUCUCACUCAUAGCUAUAGGUAGCUACCGUAAGUGUCUUUCAUUAAAAAAAAAGUAUGAAACCAAAGAAUGAAAGUACUGGUGAAGUUUAUCCACUUUUAUAGUUUCAUUAUAUGUGGAAAUAACAAAAAUAAAUUUAUUCCUACGAGUAAACAAAAUCAAGUCAGCAAUAAACACAAACCAAAAAUUACGCAAAGACAGUCCAUUACACAAAUUUAUUUAAUUUAUUUUUUGUAAUAACUGAAGGACGAAUUUCGUUCGACCUUCAAGAGACCCCCACGGGCUUGACCUUGGUGAGGCAUCCACUGCAGAUACCUCACUCAGUGAGGCGUCCCCCAUGGAUACCACACGUAGAGCGUCCACACGGACACUAACGUCAAACGAGCCCUUGCGGGAACUCAAAAUUGACGAGGACCAAAUCGGCUUGAGAGGCAUUGGUGAGGCGCCACACUAACCUCAUACAAGUCCUUAGGAAACUCGAAAUUUUCACGAGGAUCACUCGGGCUUGUAAAAGGUCAUUCUGAUGCCCGAAUGUGGGCAUCACACUAACCUUCGGCAAACCCUAGUCGAGACUCGGAUCAUCCGACUCUUGGGGAACGGCAUGGGCUCGAAGGGCUCGCGAUGAGACCGUUGUGGGCUCAGUGGGCUCUGAGGGCCCGACGUGGGGCUUGACGAUGUUGGGCCCAUGUUUGGAGACCGUGGUGGCCUUAGUGAGAUCAGUUCAGGCUCACUUGAUGAAAUUAAGUUGACCUUGAUUUAUCUCAAAAUGGCGCUCGAUAUUGUCAGCCACCCAAGUUUAGACACCCAAAAAUAAUUAUCUUUGUGUGAGUGGGUAGUGUGGAAUGGUGUGAAGUUGUAUUAUUGUUAGGUGUUUAUGUACAAAAUGUUAUUUUAGUGGCGAUUUAUAUCAUUUAAAUGUUUCUAUACGGAAUGUAAUUGUUCAUACUGUCAAGACAGACCAUUUGAUGACUCAUUCUGUGUUUAUUUUGUGUACUGAACAUAUUUUUAAUGACUAAAAUUGUGUUUCUGAAGGUUAUCAAGGUUGUGUGAUACAAAUAAGGUAUUUUUAUGCAAUGUGCUGAUCCUUGCUGAUUUGCUUGAAGGUUAUCAUAUGUUAUGUACCUAGCCAUUAAAAUAGGUCAUAGAAAUAUGAAAGGUAUAGCAGAAUAGUACCUUUACACCUCUGAAGCCUAAGAUAAUGAAACAUAAGAUAUUAUUUUUGUGUAAAUACCUACGUUAAGGGUGUUUCGUUUAAGGUGAAUACUUCGAAUGUUCAUGAGUAUGUUAUGAACUCGCAUAUUUGAGUCAGGUGGUACACUAUGUAUACAAGUGAAUAAGUAUACAAUGAAAAAUAUAACCAAUAUAAGGUUAACGAAAUUGCAAUCGCAAACAUGACGUGCAAUUAUGAGCAUUACAGCAAGUAAUAUUGAGGGUUAUAAAUAUUAAUCUCCGCUGCUAAGUACAUGGUUGACCAUAAAACGCCAAUUUUAUUACCAUGCAGACAAUUUUCAGUACGUACUGUCAAACAGCAUGAACAUCCGAUUUUAAAACUUUAAAAUAAUAUAUGAAAUGGAAGUGGAGGUGGGAGGGCCAAAUUUUUAUUAUUUUUUAUUUUACUUCACCACGUAGGUAUUUCUUUCUUAUUUAUUAUCUCUAGCUUCUAAAUGGCUGUUAAUGAAACGACGUAUUCAAGUCCUACACAUUCAUCAAAAUUAAUCUAUACAUAAUAUAUGAUAUAGUGUAUCUUCCAUUGUAUUUAUUGUUUGUAAAAAAAUUUGUGACUAAAGAACAAGGUCAGCGAAUGUUUAGUAAUAUAAAGUUUGAUACUAAAUAUCGUCAUUCUUUAUCUUCUAUGUGUACAGUUCCUGUGUUGUCAAUUAUUAAGUAAAUUAACACUGUUUAUAACAACCAUAAUUGUCAAGAAUGUCAAAAGAGACGAGUGGACAAUAUGAACAUCAAAUUUAAAUUUUUACAAAAACAUGUCAGCUUUUGUUAGUCCGAACGAUUGAACAAAGUACAAAAAAGUGAUCACUACUUUUUGGUUUCCUAGUUGUGAUUAUUUUCUAUGACCGACAGACCCGGGAACCAUCGUAAUUAAGGUCAAAUUGAUCAUAUUAAAAGAAGAAGAAGAAAUUACACGAAUGAUCGAAUUACCAAAUUAAUACAUACAAGUAGUUUUAAGUGCAUCGACCGACAGAGAAAAUCUUAGGUAGUUCGUUGAAAUGACGGUUCUAGCUAGGCCCGAUCGCGUAGAUGUUUUUCGUUCCUUAUCUGGAGGUCAUACAUUUCGAAAUUUGAUUUGUUUCACUACUCAGUCACUUUUUUGUAUUUGUUGUGUUAGGUGUGAGCUGUUUUUGUAGUAAUUGUUGAUUUGUUGUGUCAUGUUUGAAGGUGUUCUCACACGACGCAUUUUUAUUCAUUUUGUGUAAAUUUUGGCAUCGUGUCAGAGAAUCUUUGAGUGCAAAUUUUUGUAUCUAGUGACGAUGAUUUGUCUAGUAGUGGAAGUGGCGGAGGGAGGGCCAAACUUUGUUUAUAAAAGCUUAUAAAAUGUGCUUAAAGUAAGAUUUUGCAAAAAAAGUAAGUUUGAAGGAAGUGGAGGUGGGAGGGCAAAUAAAUAAAAAUAAAAUUGAGUAGUAUUUUGAGGAAUAAGCUUGGAGGAAAGUGGAGGAGGGAGGGCAAAACAAAAAACAAAAACAUGUGUUUAAUAAAAGCAGCUGUUUUUAGUAAAAUUUAAAUUUUAGAGUAACUGAAAGUUAAGUCUUAAAUGUUUAUGUAUUUUUCGCUGCAACUAAACGAAGUUUUUCAAGUUUAAUUUUUGCACAAGUAGGAAUUUUGUGUGUUUAGCAUCAAGUCCCAUAAGCUAUUUUCUGAGUAGAUGCAAUGUUUAGAAAAAAAAGUAAAUUUUGUUUCAAAAAUGCUUAUGCGAGUAUUUCAGUCUAGUCCCAAAAUUUGGAACAACCAAUCCAGGAAAAGAUAGUGCUGAAAAGAGAAGAACUGACGUGGAUAAACAAGUUUAAGUAUAGUAAUUCAAUAUUGAUCAUUAAUUGAUAAAUUAGUAAUAUUUUGUUUGGAAGUGGAGGUGGGAGGGCCAAAAAAAACCAAAUUUUUGUAAAACAUUUAGGCUUUAUUAAAUGAGUUUCAAGUA